UACGUAGGUGGCAAGCGUUGUCCGGAAUUAUUGGGCGUAAAGCGCGCGCAGGCGGUCCUUUAAGUCUGAUGUGAAAGCCCACGGCUCAACCGUGGAGGGUCAUUGGAAACUGGGGGACUUGAGUACAGAAGAGGAAAGUGGAAUUCCACGUGUAGCGGUGAAAUGCGUAGAGAUGUGGAGGAACACCAGUGGCGAAGGCGACUUUCUGGGCUGUAACUGACGCUGAGGCGCGAAAGCGUGGGGAGCAAACAGG
rnacentral:rRNA from 1 species